CAGCUGUGGUCUCUAGAAGAGGAUCGCAACCACUGGAGGAUCACAAUUUCCACUGUCUGAAAUGUCAGUAAGAAAUGGCAGCAGUUAAAAGGAACUGUUGAAGUUAAGAUUUCCUGAUGUGAAAACUAGGAAAACCCCCACUUUUGAUGAUGCAUCCUGAAGAUGGGUGGAACCUUUGAAAACCUAUAACUGCUUGUACAACUGGAUGGGCUGUGAAAUGCUUUGAAAUGCUUCAAAUUGGCAUUACUAUGGAGAGAAUGGACAGACUAAAUAUGGCAAGAUUUCCUGGCAAACAGGAGAGAGCAGGUGCGGCUGGGAAAACACGUGUCAGACCCCCGGACCCUAAGUGCUGGAGUUCCAUAAGGCUGUGUGCUCUCACCCUCUCUCUUCAGUCUACACAAAUGACUGUCUCUAAGGAACCAGUUGUGGAGAUCCUGAAGUUUGCAGAUGACACCACUGAGGUGGGCCUUAUAGCCAACAGUGAUGAGUCGGCUUACAGAAAGGAAGUCGAGCAGCUGGUCUCCUGCUGCUGAACAUGCAAAACAGUGGAGAUGGUGGUGGACUUCAGACACAAUUCCCCCUCCUUACCCCCUCAACAUCAAUGGCUCUGUGGUUUCCACUGUUGAGUCACUCAGGUUCCUGAACACCACCAUAUCCAGGGAUCUGAAGGAGGAGAGGAACAUGCUCUCCAUAGCCAAGAGAGCACAGCAGAGAAUGUCCUUCCAGAGACAGCUGAAGAAAUUGAACCUGCCACAGACCCUGAUGUUCCAGUCCUACACAGCGAUCAUCAAGUCCAUCCACACUUCAUACAUAACCAUCUGGUUUGUUUCCUCCACCUCACAAGAAUGAGCCAAACUCCAGCACCUAAUCAGGACAGUGGAGAGGACCAUUGCAUAUAGUCCAUCAAACACUUCCGGACAUUUACAACAGCAUGGUGAUCAAGCACGCUGACAAAAUAACAGCUGACCUCUAUCAUUCUGGACAUCUCCUCGUCCAGUCAGUUCCCUCUGGUAGAAGAUUCAGGACCAUCAAAACCAGCACAAGCAGACAUGCUUUCAGCUUUUCCCCCAGAGCUGUAGUUCUCAUUAACCACAGUGGACACCUCAUACUUUAAACCUAAACCAACAAACCUCUUUAGCAUAUUACAGCACAACUUAAAGCUUAUUUGCACAGCUGUACACGUUAAAUUCUUACAAAUGUCCAUAUAUGUUUUAAACUUUUUCUACUUAGAUCUAUAUAUGCAUCGAUAUCCAUACCUGCACAUGUACAUUUAUUCACAUAUCUCUUAGCUCCUCUCCAUGGUUCUUUAUUAUUUAUUCCUUAUUCUGGGUUAUAUUUAUUGUGUUUGUAUUUUAAUUUUCUGUUAGUUCAAUAUUUCCUAAAAGUCUGUGUGCUUGUUCGGUCUGGUCACUAUGUUAAAUAAUAAUGAAAUGAUGAAACAGAUGGUAAUGACUGGCCCCUCCCAGUGUUCCAUGUGCGUCUGUUUACCUGUCCAUGUGCUUCUUUGUUUGGUUUCCUUCCAGUUCUGCCCCCUUGUUUCUUGUCUCCGCCCUUGAUUGUUCCCACCUGUUUUCCUGUUAUCCUGUUGUUAGCGCUCUUGUAUUUAAGCCCUGUGUUUUCCCUAGUCUAGUGCUGGUCUUUGUUUGAUAUGUUUGGUAUGGUAGUGUGUUUGAAAUGUAUGUACUGUUAGGUGUUUGGAUUUCUGUGUUCCUUGUCAUGUCUGUCCCUCCUGCUCUCCGUGUUGGCUCUCUGACCCUGGACUGUCUGGACCCUGAUUAUGGAUUAGCCAUCAAUAAAUCUUGCUUUUC